rnacentral:rRNA from 1 species
ACUUCCUAAAAUUAUAUAUUGGGUAAAUCUAUAAUCUUAUAGAUGAUAUACUGUUAAUAUGAGUAACAAGAAUACAAAUUCUCCAAGCAUAAGUGUAUAACAACCCGGAUAUCCAUUGUUAGUUAUCAGGAUAUAGGUGAUAUCUAUUACAUAAGAACACCUAAAACUUUAUCUGUUAGCCCAACACAGGAAUGCUUUAAGGAAAGAUUAAAAAAAAUAAAAGGAACUCGGCAAACAAGAACCUCGCCUGUUUACCAAAAACAUCACCUCUAGCAUAUCAAGUAUUAGAGGCAUUGCCUGCCCAGUGACUUAAGUUAAACGGCCGCGGUAUCCUGACCGUGCAAAGGUAGCAUAAUCACUUGUUCCUUAAUUAGGGACUAGCAUGAAUGGCUAAACGAAGGUUCGACUGUCUCUUAUUUUUAAUCAGUGAAAUUGACCUUUCAGUGAAGAGGCUGAAAUUUUAUAAUAAGACGAGAAGACCCUAUGGAGCUUAAAUUAAAUAAUUUAACUGUAAUUAUUAAUAAAUCUAAGGACCUAAAAACUACAGCAUAAAUUAAAAAUUUCGGUUGGGGUGACCUCGGAGAAUAAAAAAUCCUCCGAAUGAUUGUAACCUAGACUUACAAGUUAAAGUAAUACUUAUGUCUUAUUGACCCAAAAAAUAUUUUGAUCAACGGACCAAGUUACCCUAGGGAUAACAGCGCAAUCCUAUUUAAGAGUUCAUAUCGACAAUUAGGGUUUACGACCUCGAUGUUGGAUCAGGACAUCCCAAUGGUGCAGAAGCUAUUAAUGGUUCGUUUGUUCAACGAUUAAAGUCCUACGUGAUCUGAGUUCAGACCGGAGCAAUCCAGGUCGGUUUCUAUCUAUUAACAAUUUCUCCCAGUACGAAAGGACAAGAGAAAUAGAGCCUCCUUACAAAUAAGUGCUCUUAACCUAAUUUAUGAAUAAAAUCUAAAUAAAAUUUAUUUGUUCAACUUACUUACCUAGAUAAGGUU